CCUACGGGUGGCAGCAGUAAGGGAUAUUGGUCAAUGGGGGAAACCCUGAACCAGCAACGCCGCGUGAGGGAAGACGGUUUUCGGAUUGUGAACCUCUGUCCUCUGUGAAGAUGAUGACGGUAGCAGAGGAGGAAGCUCCGGCUAACUACGUACCAGCAGCCGCGGGAAUACGUCGGGAGCGAGCGUUGUCCGGAUUUACUGGGUGUAAAGGGUGCGUAGGCGGCUUGGCAAGUCAGGAGUGAAAUGCUGGGGCUUAACCCAUGAACUGCUAGUGAAACUGUCGGGCUCGAGUGAAGUAGAGGUAGGCGGAAUUCCCGGUGUAGCGGUGAAAGGCAUAGAGAUCGGGAGGAACACCAGUGGCGAAGGCGGCAUACUGGG
rnacentral:rRNA from 1 species